rnacentral:rRNA from 1 species
UGGGGAAUCUUGCGCAAUGGGCGAAAGCCUGACGCAGCGACGCCGCGUGAGUGAUGAAGGCCUUCGGGUUGUAAAGCUCUGUGGAGGGGGACGAAUAAGGCAUGGCUAAUAUCCAUGUUGAUGACGGUACCUCUUUAGCAAGCACCGGCUAACUCUGUGCCAGCAGCCGCGGUAAGACAGAGGGUGCAAACGUUGUUCGGAAUUACUGGGCGUAAAGCGCGUGUAGGCUGCUCCGAAAGUCGGAUGUGAAAGCCCUGGGCUCAACCUAGGAAGUGCAUUCGAAACUUCGGAGCUGGAGUCCUGGAGAGGAUCGCGGAAUUCUCGGUGUAGAGGUGAAAUUCGUAGAUAUCGAGAGGAACACCGGUGGCGAAGGCGGCGAUCUGGACAGUGACUGACGCUGAGACGCGAAAGCGUGGGGAGCAAACA